GAUGAACGCUGGCGGCGUGCCUAAUACAUGCAAGUCGAGCGAACGGACGAGAAGCUUGCUUCUCUGAUGUUAGCGGCGGACGGGUGAGUAACACGUGGAUAACCUACCUAUAAGACUGGGAUAACUUCGGGACACCGGAGCUAAUACCGGAUGAUAUUUUGAACCGCAUGGUUCAAAAGUGAAAGACGGUCUUGCUGUCACUUAUAGAUGGAUCCGCGCUGCAUUAGCUAGUUGGUAAGGUAACGGCUUACCAAGGCAACGAGGCGUAGCCGACCUGGGAGGGGGGCCGGAGACACUGAGACUGAGAGACGGCACAGACUACGAAGGGAGGCAGCAGUGGGGAAUAUUGCGAAAUGGGAGCAAGCCUGAUGCAGCGACGCCGAGUGGGGGAUGACGGACUUCGGGUUGUAAACUCCUGUCGCUAGGGACGAAGCGUAUUGUGACGGUACCUGGAGAAGAAGCAACGGAUAACUAGGUG
rnacentral:rRNA from 1 species